CCAUGCUUUUACUUAAAUGCGUGGGACUCGUCAGCUUCUGUCUCACAGACACACACCUUCAACCCUCUCUGCACAGAGCUCCUUGGCCUUCUCCCUCAUCAUCUUGGGGAUCAGGACGUCCGUCUCCACGUGCCGCAGGUGGAUCUCCUCUGAGGACGAGAGACACGCACACCGGUAAGACUGUGAGACCCACGGUCAUCCUUAUGAAGGAGAGGGCUGGAGAGAGACGGGUACAAAGGCUCCAUUCGGUCUCACUUGAGGGGCUCUCACCAAGAAAUGAGGCGGCAAUGGAUGGAGGAGGCCUUCUUCAGGAGGCGUCCUGGGGCUUUUGCGGCGAGGCAAACAGGAAUGAGGGGGAGCGUUCAGCCCUUCCCGUGUUUCUUCCAUUCAUCAAGGCAGCAAACCUUUGACCGCUCUACAAUGACCAGAGUUCCCCCUCAUUACACGGUCCAUCUUGAUGAAAAGAUGAAGAGCACAGAGAUGAGGAUGAGGGGAACAGAAAUGAGGACCACGCCAUUUCAAUAGGAGUUUGGUAUAGAAUCCUCUAAACAACACCAAAAGAGAACAUCUUGUCUUUUGAUCAGGUUUUUUUUUUUUGUUGUCCAUCUCUCUCCCCUCUCUCUGUCCUUUAUUCUAGAAUAUGAUCCUCCCUAGGUUUCUGUACCCACAUAGUGCACUGCGCUCAGUGCCUGAAUGCGGUUAAUUAUCCAAAAGGAAAAGUUUGUACCUGUUGAAAAGCUAUCCUUGGCGGCUUGGCUUGUUAAUGCCAACAAAAAGCAGCCAUAGUGGAUGGUCAGAGGACACCACAUGCUGCGGAGAGCCUUUCAGACAUGUCCCUAAUAAGAAUGCAGUGGUGAGAGCUCCUCUGAAUGCACGCAGGGGAGAGGGAGAUAGGUAGGAUGGGAGAAAAGAAAAGGAAGGGGAAGAAGAAAAAACAUCUUUUACCUCUCCAUCUAUAAUUACUCCAAAUGAAGAAAAGGCUGAAGAAAUGGCCUGGGAGACUUUCCAUUAUGACAGAAAAAAAAAACUAUCAAGUAGAGAAGGCAAAGCACAAGAUCGAUAGUUUUUUCAUGGAUGAAAGGGAAGUUUUUAUAACGUCUCAGAAGUAACGAUGUAUGUGCAUCAGUGUGUGGAUGUGUGUGUGUGUGUGUGUGUGUGUGUGUGUGUGUGUGUGUGUGUGUGUGUGUGUGUGUGUGUGUCGAAGGCAGACUCCACAAAGUGCAGCAUUACAGUCCUAUGCUUCAGUAAAGUCCUGCUAAAGAUCCAUCUGUCUUGUUCUGUGCCUCCUGCAUGUGUGCUUCAGAGAAGUUCCUCAAACCCGUCCACAACAUGCAGGUACAUUUCCUCUUUCCUCUCAGUGCAUUGCAUUGAGUCUAUGCUUGUCAUAUGAAAUGUGCUGUAUAAAUAAACUUGA